rnacentral:lncRNA from 1 species
UGGAUCAUGGGCGGAAGGAGAGGGCGAACGCGCUCUUGGCUGGGACGGGCUGGAUCUCUGCAUGCAUCACGGGAGACUUGAUCACGGAGGAGACGCUGAUCCGGAAACUAGGAUGCCGUGAGAUCACUAGAGCUGGUGGCGGGAUGUCCGGAAUGGCUCACGUUGUGAAUGCAUAUGGAAGAAGAGGCCGCUGAUCUUGCUACUAGGAAUGCGCUGGGAGAUUGCAGUUGGGACUCCGGGAGAGACGCGGACGGCUGAUGCUUGUUGACG